GAGGUGUUGACGAAGGAGGCCUU
rnacentral:siRNA from 1 species